rnacentral:miRNA from 1 species
UACACAGUCCCCUGUAGUUGAGA